GGGAACUUUAUAAAAUUCCAAUAUUAUCAUUAUAGUAAAGACAGAAAGAUCAUUAGGUGAUAAAAGUUACUUUUUAAAGAGGGAAGGGGGUGGAGAAUUGCGGAAGUUGGCACUGCUUCAGUGAGGGGACUAACCUCCUGAGGUGCCUGAGGUAUCUUCUUGCUGAUGUGUUUAGGAUCUUUGGCUUUACUUUCUUCAUUUUCUAUUAGUCAAAUCCACUGUUUCAUGCUCAUCUUCAACGUCUCUCAAGCUCCUAGGAAGGAAAGAGGAACCUGGAAACCAAGUGACGAAGCAAUGUGAGGUUCUUCUUAAGGAUUUGAAGAACAGAAGAAACUGUUUCAGUACAAACAGCAUAUCCAUGCUCAAGCCGAUCCCCUAUGGCAACCUCUCUAUCAUCAACAAUAACAUCCAACUCCUAUUUUCAGAAAAAUCCUUGCCAAAUCUACUUCUCGAGUUUGUGUGGCAAAGAAUAGCAUGGCUUGCCUGCACACUGGAAAAGGUUUAAUAAAUCUCUUUAAUUCCUCUUCAAACUUAGCAUCCAAGAUACAAUGAGCAUCAUCAAUAAUCUCUGUAGGAACCUUGUACACAAACCCCUGGAGGAUUCUGCUUGUGGUUCGGAGCCCACCUGGAGUUGACAUGCUAGUGUUGAUUCC
rnacentral:lncRNA from 1 species